UACGGGGGGGGCAAGCGUUGUUCGGAAUUACUGGGCGUAAAGGGCGCGUAGGCGGUCAGCACAAGUCAGUUGUGAAAUCUCCGGGCUUAACUCGGAAAGGUCAACUGAUACUGUGCGACUAGAGUGCGGAAGGGGCAACUGGAAUUCUUGGUGUAGCGGUGAAAUGCGUAGAUAUCAAGAGGAACACCUGCGGCGAAGGCGGGUUGCUGGGCCGACACUGACGCUGAGGCGCGAAAGCCAGGGGAGCGAACGGG
rnacentral:rRNA from 1 species